UCGGCAUGCGGGUGCCUAAUACAUGCAAGUCGAGCGGACAGAUGGGAGCUUGCUCCCUGAUGUUAGCGGCGGACGGGUGAGUAACACGUGGGUAACCUGCCUGUAAGACUGGGAUAACUCCGGGAAACCGGGGCUAAUACCGGAUGGUUGUUUGAACCGCAUGGUUCAGACAUAAAAGGUGGCUUCGGCUACCACUUACAGAUGGACCCGCGGCGCAUUAGCUAGUUGGUGAGGUAACGGCUCACCAAGGCGACGAUGCGUAGCCGACCUGAGAGGGUGAUCGGCCACACUGGGACUGAGACACGGCCCAGACUCCUACGGGAGGCAGCAGUAGGGAAUCUUCCGCAAUGGACGAAAGUCUGACGGAGCAACGCCGCGUGAGUGAUGAAGGUUUUCGGAUCGUAAAGCUCUGUUGUUAGGGAAGAACAAGUGCCGUUCAAAUAGGGCGGCACCUUGACGGUACCUAACCAGAAAGCCACGGCUAACUACGUGCCAGCAGCCGCGGUAAUACGUAGGUGGCAAGCGUUGUCCGGAAUUAUUGGGCGUAAAGGGCUCGCAGGCGGUUUCUUAAGUCUGAUGUGAAAGCCCCCGGCUCAACCGGGGAGGGUCAUUGGAAACUGGGGAACUUGAGUGCAGAAGAGGAGAGUGGAAUUCCACGUGUAGCGGUGAAAUGCGUAGAGAUGUGGAGGAACACCAGUGGCGAAGGCGACUCUCUGGUCUGUAACUGACGCUGAGGAGCGAAAGCGUGGGGAGCGAACAGGAUUAGAUACCCUGGUAGUCCACGCCGUAAACGAUGAGUG
rnacentral:rRNA from 1 species